rnacentral:rRNA from 1 species
UACGUAGGGGGCAAGCGUUGUCCGGAAUUAUUGGGCGUAAAGCGCGUGUAGGCGGCUCGGUAAGUCUGCUGUGAAAGUCCAGGGCUCAACCCUGGAAUGCCGGUGGAUACUGUCGAGCUCGAGUCCGGAAGAGGCGAGUGGAAUUCCUGGUGUAGCGGUGAAAUGCGUAGAUAUCUGGAGGAAUACCGGUGGCGAAGGCGGCAUCCUGGACCAUUACUGACGCUGAGGCGCGAAAGCUAGGGGAGCAAACGGG